rnacentral:rRNA from 1 species
GAUGAACGCUGGCGGCGUGCCUAAUACAUGCAAGUCGAGCGAACAGACGAGGAGCUUGCUCCUCUGACGUUAGCGGCGGACGGGUGAGUAACACGUGGAUAACCUACCUAUAAGACUGGGAUAACUUCGGGAAACCGGAGCUAAUACCGGAUAACAUGUUGAACCGCAUGGUUUAACAGUGAAAGACGGUCUUGCUGUCACUUAUAGACGGAUCCGCGCCGCAUUAGCUAGUUGGUAAGGUAACGGCUUACCAAGGCAACGAUGCGUAGCCGACCUGAGAGGGUGAUCGGCCACACUGGAACUGAGACACGGUCCAGACUCCUACGGGAGGCAGCAGUAGGGAAUCUUCCGCAAUGGGCGAAAGCCUGACGGAGCAACGCCGCGUGAGUGAAGAAGGUCUUCGGAUCGUAAAACUCUGUUAUUAGGGAAGAACAAAUGUGUAAGUAACUAUGCACGUCUUGACGGUACCUAAUCAGAAAGCCACGGCUAACUACGUG